UUACUACUUUUUAAUGCUCCACCCACCAUUACAGAAGCUGAAAUUUUGAGUUAUUUGAAAAUGCUACUGGAAAGCGUCCAUUAAAGAUGAGACUGUUCCCAUCAAAAACUGAACGUAGUAGUACUGGCUUGAUUGAGUUUGAGAACAAAGCUGAUGGCAUGGAGGCUUUGAUUUUGGUGAAUCACACUCCCAUCAAUUGUGCAGGUGGUAAGACUCCAUUCAUCUUCAAGUUGUGUUUCUCAUCCAUGCCCAUGGCUAUGUAAAUGUGCUCCCAGUGUGUGUCAUCAGUGUUUCCUGUCAACAGUGUUGUUUUUAAUGAGAUCAAAACUUAGUUUACAAUGCAAUUUGUCAAGGUCGCUGUUGUCUAGAUGUUGACUUAGGUACUACCAUACAAUAAAUGAACUGGAUAUAUCUG
rnacentral:sRNA from 1 species